rnacentral:ncRNA from 2 species
CGUGGCGGCGCGAGGAAGCUGGUGGAAGUCCAGCACGGUCGCGCCACUGUGAUCCGGUCCCGGGCCGGGGAGUCAGAUACUGGUGCCGUCACG